GAUGAACGCUAGCGGCAGGCUUAAUACAUGCAAGUCGAGGGGUAGCAAGAUUGUAGCAAUACAAUUGUUGACGACCGGCAAACGGGUGCGGAACACGUACACAACCUUCCUACAAGUGGGGAAUAGCCCAGAGAAAUUUGGAUUAAUACCCCGUAACAUAGCGAUGUGGCAUCACAUUGCUAUUAUAGCUUCGGCGCUUGUUGAUGGGUGUGCGGCUGAUUAGAUAGUUGGCGGGGUAACGGCCCACCAAGCCUGCGAUCAGUAACUGGUGUGAGAGCACGACCAGUCACACGGGCACUGAGACACGGGCCCGACUCCUACGGGAGGCAGCAGUAAGGAAUAUUGGGCAAUGGACGCAAGUCUGACCCAGCCAUGCCGCGUGGAGGAUGAAGGUCCUCUGGAUUGUAAACUUCUUUUAUAUGGGACGAAAAAAGGGCUUUCUAGCUCACUUGACGGUACCAUAUGAAUAAGCACCGGCUAACUCCGUGCCAGCCGCCGCAGUAACAC
rnacentral:rRNA from 1 species